UACAGAGGGUGCGAACGUUGCUCGGAAUUACUGGGCGUAAAGCGCGUGUAGGCGGGACUGCAAGUCAGAUGUGAAAUCCCCGGGCUCAACCCGGGAACUGCACCUGAAACUGCAGACCUUGAGUACUGGAGAGGGUGGCGGAAUUCCUGGUGUAGAGGUGAAAUUCGUAGAUAUCAGGAGGAACACCGGUGGCGAAGGCGGCCACCUGGACAGUCACUGACGCUGAGACGCGAAAGCGUGGGGAGCAAAC
rnacentral:rRNA from 1 species